UUUUCCUGCUGUUAAUGACAGGCAACUGGGAGCUCAGAUUUCCAGACACAUCCUCCGUGAAGCAAAACUUCAGAGAAAGACCUACCAUCAACUUAGAUUAUUAAAUCUUUUGGAGAGAUUUAGUGAAGAUGAUGCCAAAGAAAUAUCCUGGACUCACCUCUGGUGAACACAAAUCUACAGCCACAUAAGGAAUGAUGCUCACUGAAAAGAAUCUGAAAGCUAGCUGAACAGCACCUCCACAACAAAGGAUGAAAGGAUCACAUUGAGACAGAGAAAGAGAGAGAGAGAAUGUGAGCAUGCCAAAGUAGAGAAAGAGCAGAAGAAGAGGAGAGAGAGAAUCUUAAACAGGCUCCAAACCCAGCAUGGAGCCGAACGGGGGGCUCAAUCUCUCAAACAUGAAAUCAUGACGUGAGUUGAAUUCAAGCCGGGUGCUUAAAAAACUGAGCCACCCAGGUGCCCCCUAAGUUAAAGUCAUUUUAAGAGUGGCAUAAUUUAUGUUUACUGAUAACAUCAAGUUAAUCUAGAGAAGAUACUAUAAUUUUACACCUCAAGUAAAUAAUAUACUAAUAGUUUAGAAGUGUUCAGAAAUGGUCAUUUAAUGCUAUAGGAUUGUGUAUUUUUGGACUUCACACAACUCUAGUGCUUAAACCAAAUAUUUAUGACACUGUUUUGAAAUAAUUCAACAAUGACUUUUAAAAAUGGUUUUCUUGGGGUGCCAGGGUGGCUAAAUGGAUUAAGGAUCCAACUUUAGAUAUCAGCUCAGGUCAUGAUCUCAUGGUUCAUGAGACUGAGCACAGAUCCUGCCUGGGAUUCUCUCUCUCCUUCUCUCACUAUCCCUCCCCCACUUUCUCUCUCA